rnacentral:rRNA from 1 species
AUGAACGCUAGCGACAGGCCUAACACAUGCAAGUCGAGGGCAGCACAAGGAGCAAUCUGAGGUGGCGACCGGCGCACGGGUGAGUAACACGUAUGCAACCUGCCUGUAAGCGGGGAAUAACCCGUUGAAAGACGGACUAAUACCGCAUAAUACUAAAUUACUGCAUGGUAAUUUAUUUAAACAUUUAUGGCUUACAGAUGGGCAUGCGCAUGAUUAGCUAGUUGGAGAGGUAACGGCUCCCCAAGGCAACGAUCAUUAGGGGUUCUGAGAGGAAGGUCCCCCACACUGGUACUGAGACACGGACCAGACUCCUACGGGAGGCAGCAGUGAGGAAUAUUGGUCAAUGGACGAGAGUCUGAACCAGCCAAGUCGCGUGCAGGAAGAAUGUCCUUAAUGGAUUGUAAACUGCUUUUGCGAGGGGAAUAAAGUGCAUCACGUGUGAUGUUUUGUAUGUACUCUGCGAAUAAGGAUCGGCUAACUCCGUGCCAGCCGCUGC